CACCAUUCUUGGGUGAAUAUUCCAGUGCUGAGGGGCUGUGAGGUGAAGGUAUUGACGGUGCGAGGGUAGACUCCAGUCAAUUCAUCGGUGCUCCCUUGGAUUUGGUUCUAGUUGAAUAGAUCUGGGCUAUGUGGCGGGCUCUGAGCCAUAUUCUGAUACUCACUAAGUGGAUGAACCGGCUAG